GAGUGGGUUAGGCGGUCGCUAGACAUCCUUUUUUGGGAGUUUAGAGGAAAGUCCGGGCUCCAUAGGGCAGGAUGCCAGGUAACGCCUGGGAGGCGUGAGCCUACGGAAAGUGCAGCAGAAAGAAAACCGCUUGGAAGCAAUUUUUUGGCUAUGAUUCGCUUGCGAAAUUUAGGCUAUUUUUAAAUUGAUUCCAGUAAGGGUGAAAAGGUGCGGUAAGAGCGCACCGCGCAACUGGUAACAGUUGUGGCGAUGGCAAACCCCAUCCGGAGCAAAACCAAAUAGGAAUCUGUUUAUGUGUGCCCGCAUAGGAUUCGGGUAGGUUGCUACAGGCGAGCGGUGACGCGCGUCGCAGAUGAAUGACCGUCCAAGACAGAACCCGGCUUAUCGACCCGCUCC
rnacentral:RNase_P_RNA from 1 species